ACACUGGUACUGAGACACGGACCAGACUCCUACGGGAGGCAGCAGUGAGGAAUAUUGCACAAUGGGGGAAACCCUGAUGCAGCAACGCCGCGUGGAGGAUGACGCAUUUCGGUAUGUAAACUCCUUUUACGAGUCAAGAAAAUGACGGUAGCUCGUGAAUAAGCACCGGCUAACUCCGUGCCAGCAGCCGCGGUAAUACGGAGGGUGCAAGCGUUACUCGGAAUCACUGGGCGUAAAGGACACGUAGGCGGGAUGCCAAGUCUGAUGUGAAAUCCUAUGGCUUAACCAUAGAACUGCAUUGGAAACUGGUAACCUAGAGUAUGGGAGGGGGAGAUGGAAUUAGUGGUGUAGGGGUAAAAUCCGUAGAUAUCACUAGGAAUACCGAAAGCGAAGGCGAUCUCCUGGAACAAUACUGACGCUAAGGUGUGAAAGCGUGGGGAGCAAACGGGAUUAGAUACCCCGGUAGUCCACGCCCUAAACGAUGAACACUAGUCAUCGGAAUGCUAGUCAUUUCGGUGAUGCACUUAACAGAUUAAGUGUUCCGCCUGGGGAGUACGGUCGCAAGAUUAAAACUCAAAGGAAUAGACGGGGACCCGCACAAGUGGUGGAGCAUGUGGUUUAAUUCGAAGAUACGCGAAGAACCUUACCUAGCCUUGACAUUGAUAGAACACACUAGAGAUAGAGUGGUGCCCUUCGGGGAACUUGAAAACAGGUGCUGCACGGCUGUCGUCAGCUCGUGUCGUGAGAUGUUGGGUUAAGUCCCGCAACGAGCGCAACCCUCGUCCUUAGUUGCCAGCAGGUUAAGCUGGGCACUCUAAGGAGACUGCCUUCGCAAGGAGGAGGAAGGUGAGGACGACGUCAAGUCAUCAUGGCCCUUAUGGCUAGGGCUACACACGUGCUACAAUGGGGCGUACAGAGAGUUGCGAUACCGCGAGGUGGAGCCAAUCUCAUAAAGCGUCUCUCAGUUCGGAUUGGAGUCUGCAACUCGACUCCAUGAAGCUGGAAUCACUAGUAAUCGUAGAUCAGCAAUGCUACGGUGAAUACGUUCCCGGGUCUUGUACUCACCGCCCGUCACACCAUGGGAGUUGAUUUCACCCGAAAUUGGGAA
rnacentral:rRNA from 1 species